UGGCGGCGCGCCUAACACAUGCAAGUCGAACGAGAGAGAAGGAGCUUGCUUCUUCGAUCGAGUGGCGAACGGGUGAGUAACGCGUGAGGAACCUGCCUCAAAGAGGGGGACAACAGUUGGAAACGACUGCUAAUACCGCAUAAGCCCACGGGUCGGCAUCGACCUGAGGGAAAAGGAGCAAUCCGCUUUGAGAUGGCCUCGCGUCCGAUUAGCUAGUUGGUGAGGUAACGGCCCACCAAGGCGACGAUCGGUAGCCGGACUGAGAGGUUGAACGGCCACAUUGGGACUGAGACACGGCCCAGACUCCUACGGGAGGCAGCAGUGGGGAAUAUUGCACAAUGGGGGAAACCCUGAUGCAGCGACGCCGCGUGGAGGAAGAAGGUCUUCGGAUUGUAAACUCCUGUUGUUGAGGAAGAUAAUGACGGUACUCAACAAGGAAGUGACGGCUAACUACGUGCCAGCAGCCGCGGUAAAACGUAGGUCACAAGCGUUGUCCGGAAUUACUGGGUGUAAAGGGAGCGCAGGCGGGAAGACAAGUUGGAAGUGAAAUCUAUGGGCUCAACCCAUAAACUGCUUUCAAAACUGUUUUUCUUGAGUAGUGCAGAGGUAGGCGGAAUUCCCGGUGUAGCGGUGGAAUGCGUAGAUAUCGGGAGGAACACCAGUGGCGAAGGCGGCCUACUGGGCACCAACUGACGCUGAGGCUCGAAAGUGUGG
rnacentral:rRNA from 1 species